rnacentral:sRNA from 1 species
UGGCAGCUGAAGGCUCGGUUCAUGCAGUGCCCCCGGGCAGUUCUGGCGAGGCUAAGGAAGAGGCCUCUGCAUCUUGACACCUAGGAAAGCAGGGACAGAGUCUCCCAGGGUGGAGGACCAUGUUGCGCCGCAAGCCCUCCAAUGCCAGUGAGAAGGAGCCCACUCAGAAGAAAAAGCUCUCCCUUCAGCGCUCCAGCAGCUUCAAGGAUUUUGCCAAAUCCAAACCCAGCUCCCCCGUGGUGAGCGAGAAGGAGUUUAAUCUGGAUGAUAACGUGAGUUUCAGGGCAUCCUUGGGGGAUCUGGCUGCAGGCCCUGGGCAGGGGAGUGGGGGUGGGAGGGAGGAGGGUGAAGA